rnacentral:rRNA from 1 species
AUUCCAGCUCCAAUAGCGUAUAUUAAUGUUGUUGCAGUUAAAAAGCUCGUAGUUGGAUUUCUGCGCCGCGCAACUCGGUCCGCUGCACUGCAGUGUGAUGUGUGGUUGGAGCGUCGCAUCCUUGUGGGGACUGUUUGUGUCAUUAAUUUGAUGGAUUCCGGAACCGCAUCGUUUACUGUGAAAAAAUUAGAGUGUUCAAAGCAGGCUUAUGCCGUGAAUACAUUAGCAUGGAAUAAUAAGAUAGGACUCGGGUUCUAUUUUGUUGGUCUCUAGGACUCAAGUAAUGAUUGAUAGGGACAGUUGGGGGUGCUGCUAUUAUAUGGCCAGAGGUGAAAUUCACGGAUUCAUAUAAGAGCAACUUAUGCGAAAGCAUUCACCAAGGAUGUCUCAUCA